rnacentral:rRNA from 1 species
ACGGGUGAGUAACGCGUGGGAAUCUACCCAACCCUGCGGAAUAGCUCUGGGAAACUGGAAUUAAUACCGCAUACGCCCUACGGGGGAAAGAUUUAUCGGGGAUGGAUGAGCCCGCGUUGGAUUAGCUAGUUAGUGGGGUAAAGGCCUACCAAGGCGACGAUCCAUAGCUGGUCUGAGAGGAUGAUCAGCCACAUUGGGACUGAGACACGGCCCAAACUCCUACGGGAGGCAGCAGUGGGGAAUAUUGGACAAUGGGCGCAAGCCUGAUCCAGCCAUGCCGCGUGAGUGAUGAAGGCCUUAGGGUUGUAAAGCUCUUUCACCGGUGAAGAUAAUGACGGUAACCGGAGAAGAAGCCCCGGCUAACUUCGUGCCAGCAGCCGCGGUAAUACGAAGGGGGCUAGCGUUGUUCGGAAUUACUGGGCGUAAAGCGCACGUAGGCGGAUAUUUAAGUCAGGGGUGAAAUCCCAGAGCUCAACUCUGGAACUGCCUUUGAUACUGGGUAUCUUGAGUAUGGAAGAGGUAAGUGGAAUUGCGAGUGUAGAGGUGAAAUUCGUAGA